GGAUGUAGUACACUUUCCACUCAUCUCCUUUCCCAUACCGUAUCUCUUGCAAGUCGUUUUCUCUUUUUGAUCUGGCUUGUUCUCUUUAAGGACAUCUUCAAUGUGUAUAUUAACAAUCAUUUUCCAAUGUUUUGGCUUCACCUCUUAUGCUGAGGUAAUAUCAGGAUGCUCUGACACUGGUGGCUGUGGCUGCCACCUAAGAAGCCUCCUUGCCAGCUCGUAAUUUGUUUCUUCCCUCUACCUCUUCAAGCCUCCCGGCAGACUUCCUUUUUUUGUUUUAAUGUGACUCUGCUUCGGGACACUUGCUUCUAGCCAUAACUGAGUGGCUAUAUUGGUCUAAUCUUCCCACUGAAAAUAAUUAUAAAGGCCUGAGAAGAUAAAUAAAGCAAGUAUUUGAAGGCAUCUGGGAGUAACCAACACAGAAAAGGACGUGGGGCUAUGAUUCCUGAGAGGAGGGAAGCAACUGAGGCUUCCUGUUAUGGCAAUGGAAAGGAUUCUAAGAAAGGAUGCCAACAGGCCAGAUGUCAUCUUUUUUGGUGGGCUGUACACAUCAGACUGGACUUGCCUUAAAUGAGAUUCAGACAAUCCUCUUUGCCAAAUGUCCAACAAGAAAGGAGCAGUUAUGCAGAACUUGUGGUAGAAGGAGGGAAACUGAGGACCUUAGACAUCUCUGUCUGAUGAGUAACUGCUACCAGUCACAGCUUGGAGAGCUGGACACUUCACCACUCAGGUCAACAGAUGUCUGAAAAUAACAGCAAGAAAGAAAUGA
rnacentral:lncRNA from 1 species